rnacentral:rRNA from 1 species
UAUGGGUUGUAAACCUCUUUUCUCAGGGAAGAAGAUCUGACGGUACCUGAGGAAUCAGCAUCGGCUAACUUCGUGCCAGCAGCCGCGGUAAUACGAGGGAUGCAAGCGUUAUCCGGAAUUAUUGGGCGUAAAGCGUCCGCAGGUGGUUAUACAAGUCUGCCAUCAAAGCGUGGAGCUUAACUCCAUACCGGCGGUGGAAACUGUAUGACUAGAGGUCAGUAGGGGUCACGGGAAUUCAGUGUAGCGGUGAAAUGCGUAGAUAUUGGGAAGAACACCAGCGGCGAAAGCGCGUGACUGGGCUGAUUCUGACACUCAUGGACGAAAGCUAGGGGAGCGAAUGGGAUUAGAUACCCCCAGUA